rnacentral:rRNA from 1 species
AUGGUGCCUAUGAGGGGAAGAAGAAGAAAGAAGAGAUUCCGGAGUGACAUGGAUGAUCUAACUGGAUACACUGGAAUGAAGCAAUUUGGUAGUGGUCAUUUCAUGGAGCCACCGGAAAACAACAAUUGUGGAGAAUGCAAUGACACAGGACACAACGUUAGGACAUGCAAGAAACGAAGAACCAACACGGGCACUAGUCAAACACGUGGACGGAGCAGUAGCCUUGGAGGGGGCCGUGGCCAUGGAGGAAGGACUAACAUUGGAGGGGGCCGCGGCCGUGGAGGAAGGACUAGCCUUGGAGGGAGCCGUGGCCGUGGAGGAAGGACUAGCCUUGUAGGGGCCCGUGGCCGUGUAUCCGGUGGUUCUAGGACACGUCGGGUUGAUAGGGGAAGGCCUAUCGACGUGUUGCUCAAUCCGGAUGGUUAA